CUUUUAUAUGGUGAAACUGCGAAUGGCUCAUUAAAACAGUUAUAGUUUAUUUGAUGUUCGUUUUUUACAUGGAUAACCGUGCUAAUUGUAGGGCUAAUACAUGUUCGAUAUCACAUUAGUGAUAGUGUUUAUUAGUUCUAAAAUCAAACCGAUUUCGGUCGGUGCAGGUGAUUCAUAAUAAACUUACAAAUCGCAUGGGUUUCCCGGCGAUGUAUCAUUCAAGUUUCUGACCUAUCAGCUUUGGACGGAAGGGUAUUGGCCUACCGGGGCAACGACGGGUAACGGGGAAUUAGGGUUCGAUUCCGGAGAGGGAGCCUGAGAGACGGCUACCACAUCUAAGGAAGGCAGCAGGCAC
rnacentral:rRNA from 1 species